AGAAACCAGGCCCCGAGGCUUGGCAGAGCAGGAGCCCUCCGUGGUAGUGCUUGGGUGUCCAGGCUCUGAGGCUAGGGCCUCACCUCUCCCCGGGUGGAAGGGAACGUCUCCGGAUGCCAAAAGUCGCAAUGGGCCGACCAUGAUGAUGAAACCCCAGGCGGAGACGGGGGAAGCAGCACGGGAUCCCAGCCUCAGGCCUUCACGGACGUUGUUGGUUGGGGUGUCCUGUUUAGCGCGGUCGGCUUUCCGGAACCCCAGGGCUUUUAAAGGCCGGGCAGGCCACUGCUCUUUCAAAGGAGGAGGGAGGCAGAGAGCUGAUGGAUGAGUGAGUUUGCAGCUGACACUAGGCCUUGAGACCUAUGGGAUCCUUCUGUGCUGCAGCGAGGCCCUGCCGGCCUGACCACAAGUGGUGAGCCCAUCCUAUCUCACUCGGAGACGGCCAAAAUCGGAUCUCAACGGGAGUCCGGAGAACACAGCAGCCGUUCUGAAGCUCCCUCUCCCUCGGUGGAAGUCGGCUCAAACAGGUCCUGAGGACAGGACCCCUGGCGGUUUGGGCCUGGGACAGGACGAGACACCCGCUGCCCCCUCUCCCACGCCGCCCCAAACAGGACCCAGGAUCCAGUGGCCACCGCGGCGGCAGCAGGAGCAUGGCUGCAGCUGCGCGGCGGUGGCGAUAUUUAAAGGGGAUGCAGCCUAUCUGUCAGGAGUGGAGCGCGAGUCGGCUCAGCCAAUGCGCAUGCGCAAGGCGCGAGCGGUUUCUCCGGUCACAGUGGUUCCCACGGUUGUCUUAGAAACCAGGCCCCGAGGCUUGGCAGAGCAGGAGCCCUCUGUGGUAGUGCUUGGGUGUCCAGGCUCUGAGGCUAAGGCCUCACCUCUCUCCGGGUGGAAGGGAACGUCUCCGGAUGCCAGGAGUCGCAAUGGGCCGACCAUGAUGAUGAAACCCCAGGCGGAGAUGGGGGAAGCAGCACGGGAUCCCAGCUUCAGGCCUUCACGGACGGUGUUGGUUGGGAUGAAGAAAUGGGACCUGGGGAGGAGCAAAACCCAGAACUGCUGCCCACCACCCUCCCUGCCUGGUGCUUUCCUGGGAACAUGUGGGAGCCGCCACCUGGACCUUGGGACCUCCCAUCUGUAAUUGCAGGCCCCGGUCUGCCUGUGUGGAUGUGGAAUGUGUCACUCAGGUUCCUGGAGUCCUCCUGAGCUUGUCCAGCAGUGCUGCAUUCACUGAUGUGCUGAAAGAGGCCUAGGCUCGGACCUCUAGGAAUAUCCAAGGCAUCUUUUUACGCAGAAAACCACCCUCAUGCGGUCCUGGGGGCCUCUCUCCAUCUUCCUGGGGGUGAUGCAAUAGAGUAUAACUUCCAGGUUGCCGUGGCAGGCCAUGAGGAGUUGCCCCCGUUGGAGGGGCAGAGUGGUAUUUGUGGGGUGGUAGGAAUCAUUCAAUGCCCACCUGCAACCCCCUGGGCUCACAGCACACUCUUAAGGCCAGUGCUACCAGCUCCCUUGGGUGGAUAGAGGAGCUACGGCUCAGAAGCAUGCCCACAGCUCCCCCAGGACCCUGAGGCCAGCCUGUGGCAGGGCCUGUGAUUUGAACCCCUCUACGAGGCUUCAAAUCAGUGCUGUUUGUCCUGGCCUCAUAAAACCUGGCUGCCCAGUUGGGAUUGGUGUCACCUGCCUUGCUGAACUGGGCACUCCUUGGGAAGAGGGUGGGUGCUGUAAGAAGGCAGUGGAUCCUGGCUGUGCAACCUUCGCAGGUGGCUGAACCUCUCUGUCUCAGUUUGCUCAUCUGCAAAGGGGGCUGGGAUUCCUGCCUACAUGCAUGUGCUCAAGAGGGAAAGCUGGCCAGGCAUGGUGGCUCAUGCCUGUAAUCCCAGCACUUUGGGAGGCUGAGGUGGGCAGAUCACUUGAGGUCAGGAGUUCAAGACCAGCCUGGCCUAAAUGGCAAAACCCCAUCUCUACUGAAAAAAAAAAUACAAAAAUUAGCUGGACGUGGUGGCGGGUGCCUGUAAUCCUAGCUACUGGGGAGGCUGAAGCAGGAGAAUCGCUUGAAUCUGGGAGGUGAAGGUUGCAGUGAGCUGAGAUCCCACCAUUGCACUCCAGCCUGGGUGACAAGAGUGAAACUCCACCUCAAAAUAAAUAAAUAAAUAAAUAAAAUAAAGUAAAAGAGGGAAUGCUGAGAGCCGGGCGUGGCCUGUGGCUCUGUAGCUACUCAGGAGGCUGAGUCAGGAGGAUUGCUUUAGGCCAGAGAUUCCAGGCUGCAGUGAGCUAUGAUCAUGCCUGUGAACAGCUGCUAUAUUCUAGCCUGGGAAACACAGUGAGACCCUGUCUCUG